AUGCCUGGAAAAUGUAAAUUCCAAAACUCCUGGCUCUCAAAGGGAAUUUACAAGGACUGGCUGGCUAAGGACGUCCAGGACAUUCACUUCGCCCGAUGUAGGGCCUGUGGUAAAUCAAUCAAACUUAGGACCAUGGGCGAGGCUGCUCUCACCAGCCACGCAGGGGGAGCUGGCCACAAAGCAGCGGUCCGCAAGCUACUGGAAGCAGGAAAUUUGAUGAUGAUAAAUUCCGCCGGGCUGAUGAAUGGAAAUGUGAAUCAGACUGAGGAAACCAAGGAGCAAGUGGCCAUCUGCCUCCAGCGUGAAGCCUUGGACAGAAUAACAGGCAGCGACUGGUCAGAUCUGCACCACAGCCCCACUACAAACUCCACCUCCCACAAUGCAGAGCUGCAGGAUGUGACAUUUCCUGCUGCCUUCUUCACAGCACCAGGCACCUCCAGGCUCAUCAGCCAGCGUCUCCACCCGCCAGGCAGCCAGGCGGAGGAAGCGACCCGGCUCUCGACCCAGCAGGACUCCGCCGACCUGUCGAGACUGGAGCACCAGCAGAGGACAGAAGCUCUGGAGCAACAGCAGCAGAUGAAGAUCCUGGAGUGGGAGAACAGGAUGAAGGUACUGGCGUGGGAGCAGGAGCUGGUGAGGGAGAAGAGGAGAGCAGCCCGGCAGAAGGAGAAGGCCUUCAGGAUGAAGAAGACUUACUAUAAAGCCAAGUUAAAGAAGAUGGGCGAGGACGUGCCGCCAUCUUCCCCCAGCAGCAGUGAAGAGGAGAAAACAUCUGAUCCGACAGGAUGA
rnacentral:lncRNA from 1 species